rnacentral:rRNA from 1 species
AGUGAACGCUGGCGGCAGGCCUAACACAUGCAAGUCGAACGGCAGCACAAGAGAGCUUGCUCUCUGGGUGGCGAGUGGCGGACGGGUGAGGAAUGCAUCGGAAUCUGCCCAUUUGUGGGGGAUAACCUCGGGAAACCGGGACUAAUACCGCAUACGACCUACGGGUGAAAGCCGGGGAUCUUCGGACCUUGCGCAGAUGGAUGAGCCAAUGCCGGAUUAGCUAGUUGGAGGGGUAAAGGCCCACCAAGGCGACGAUCCGUAGCUGGUCUGAGAGGAUGAUCAGCCACACUGGGACUGAGACACGGCCCAGACUCCUACGGGAGGCAGCAGUGGGGAAUAUUGGACAAUGGGCGCAAGCCUGAUCCAGCCAUGCCGCGUGUGUGAAGAAGGCCUUCGGGUUGUAAAGCACUUUUGUUGGGAAAGAAAAGCAGCCGGUUAAUACCCGGUUGUCAUGACGGUACCCAAAGAAUAAGCACCGGCUAACUUCGUG